rnacentral:rRNA from 1 species
CAUGCCGUAAACGAUGUCUACUAGCCGUUGGGGCCUUUGAGGCCUUAGUGGCGCAGCUAACGCGAUAAGUAGACCGCCUGGGGAGUACGGUCGCAAGACUAAAACUCAAAUGAAUUGACGGGGGCCCGCACAAGCGGUGGAGCAUGUGGUUUAAUUCGAUGCAACGCGAAGAACCUUACCUGGCCUUGACAUAGUAAGAACUUUCCAGAGAUGGAUUGGUGCCUUCGGGAGCUUACAUACAGGUGC